rnacentral:rRNA from 1 species
AGAGUUUGAUCCUGGCUCAGGAUGAACGCUAGCAACAGGCUUAACACAUGCAAGUCGAGGGGCAGCGGGGGAGUAGCAAUACUCCCGCCGGCGACCGGCGCACGGGUGAGUAACACGUAUGAAACCUGCCCGUAGCAGGGGGAUAAGCGGAAGAAAUUCCGUCUAAUACCGCGUAACAACCCGAGGAGGCAUCUCCUCGGGUUUAAAGGAGGCGAUUCCGGCUACGGAUGGUCAUGCGUCGCAUUAGCUAGUUGGCGGGGUAACGGCCCACCAAGGCGACGAUGCGUAGGGGUUCUGAGAGGAAGGUCCCCCACACUGGCACUGAGACACGGACCAGACUCCUACGGGAGGCAGCAGUGAGGAAUAUUGGUCAAUGGCCGCAGGGCUGAACCAGCCAAGUCGCGUGAGGGAUGACGGUCCUAUGGAUUGUAAACCUCUUUUGUCAGGGAGCAAAGGACGCCACGUGUGGUGUUUUGCGAGUACCUGAAGAAAAAGCAUCGGCUAACUCCGUGCCAGCAGCCGCGGUAAUACGGAGGAUGCGAGCGUUAUCCGGAUUUAUUGGGUUUAAAGGGUGCGCAGGCGGAAUGUCAAGUCAGCGGUAAAAUUUCGGGGCUCAACCCCGUCGUGCCGUUGAAACUGGCGUUCUUGAGUGAGCGAGAAGUAUGCGGAAUGCGUGGUGUAGCGGUGAAAUGCAUAGAUAUCACGCAGAACUCCGAUUGCGAAGGCAGCAUACCGGCGCUCAACUGACGCUCAUGCACGAAAGCGUGGGUAUCGAACAGGAUUAGAUACCCUGGUAGUCCACGCAGUAAACGAUGAAUACUAACUGUCCGGGCCGAUUGAGGUCUGGGUGGUACAGCGAAAGCGUUAAGUAUUCCACCUGGGGAGUACGCCGGCAACGGUGAAACUCAAAGGAAUUGACGGGGGCCCGCACAAGCGGAGGAACAUGUGGUUUAAUUCGAUGAUACGCGAGGAACCUUACCCGGGCUCAAACGACGGAUGAAUGUUUCUGAAAGGAGGCAGCCCUUCGGGGCAUCCGUCGAGGUGCUGCAUGGUUGUCGUCAGCUCGUGCCGUGAGGUGUCGGCUUAAGUGCCAUAACGAGCGCAACCCCCAUCGCCAGUUACCAGCAAGUAAAGUUGGGGACUCUGGCGAGACUGCCGGCGCAAGCUGUGAGGAAGGCGGGGAUGACGUCAAAUCAGCACGGCCCUUACGUCCGGGGCGACACACGUGUUACAAUGGCAGGUACAGAGAGAUGCGAUGCGGCGACGCAGAGCGGAACUUCAAAGCCUGUCUCAGUUCGGAUUGGAGUCUGCAACCCGACUCCAUGAAGCUGGAUUCGCUAGUAAUCGCGCAUCAGCCACGGCGCGGUGAAUACGUUCCCGGGCCUUGCACACACCGCCCGUCA